UCGUUUGAUUGAAGAUAUAAGGUUGAUGAGCAGUGUGCAAGCACAUGAUAAUUGACAGAGAGCUGUUUCUUCCCCUGAAGUGUGGAGCUCUACUUUUAUGUUUCAGAGUUCAAGAAUAAAGCAAGCUAGUACUGGUAAAAAUCCUGCAGAUAAAAAUUGAAUUGAAUUGAAUGGUGUAUUGAAAGUUGCAGCUUGUAGUUGGCUAGUAAUGAUUUGGUAUUAUCUCAUAUCUAUCCUGAAAGCGACACGGAAUGAUUCCAGGCAUCCUUUUCAAGUUCUGGAAAUUUGUGUUUGUGGUUUGCUUAAUUAGUUUUAAUUAUCAGUCAUCAAUUUAUUAGUGUUUACUGUUUAGUGACAAUUAUAUGAUAAAUAAAAGCUCCGC
rnacentral:misc_RNA from 1 species